rnacentral:rRNA from 1 species
ACGCUAGCUACAGGCUUAACACAUGCAAGUCGAGGGGAAACGGCAUUGAGUGCUUGCACUCUUUGGACGUCGACCGGCGCACGGGUGAGUAACGCGUAUCCAACCUUCCCAUUACUGUGGGAUAACCUGCCGAAAGGCAGACUAAUACCGCAUAGUCUUCGAUGACGGCAUCAGAUUUGAAGUAAAGAUUUAUCGGUAAUGGAUGGGGAUGCGUCUGAUUAGCUUGUUGGCGGGGUAACGGCCCACCAAGGCGACGAUCAGUAGGGGUUCUGAGAGGAAGGUCCCCCACAUUGGAACUGAGACACGGUCCAAACUCUUACGGGAGGCAGCAGUGAGGAAUAUUGGUCAAUGGACGGAAGUCUGAACCAGCCAAGUAGCGUGCAGGAUGACGGCCCUAUGGGUUGUAAACUGCUUUUGUAUGGGGAUAAAGUUAGGGACGUGUCCCUAUUUGCAGGUACCAUACGAAUAAGGACCGGCUAAUUCCGUGCCAGCAGCCGCGGUAAUACGGAAGGUCCAGGCGUUAUCCGGAUUUAUUGGGUUUAAAGGGAGCGUAGGCUGGAGAUUAAGUGUGUUGUGAAAUGUAGACGCUCAACGUCUGAAUUGCAGCGCAUACUGGUUUCCUUGAGUACGCACAACGUUGGCGGAAUUCGUCGUGUAGCGGUGAAAUGCUUAGAUAUGACGAAGAACUCCGAUUGCGAAGGCAGCUGACGGGAGCGCAACUGACGCUUAAGCUCGAAGGUGCGGGUAUCAAACAGGAUUAGAUACCCUGGUAGUCCGCACAGUAAACGAUGGAUGCCCGCUGUUGGUACCUGGUAUCAGCGGCUAAGCGAAAGCAUUAAGCAUCCCACCUGGGGAGUACGCCGGCAACGGUGAAACUCAAAGGAAUUGACGGGGGCCCGCACAAGCGG